UACGUAGGGUGCGAGCGUUAAUCGGAAUUACUGGGCGUAAAGCGUGCGCAGGCGGCGCCGCAAGUCAGACGUGAAAGCCCCGGGCUUAACUUGGGAACUGCGUUUGAAACUACGGUGCUGGAGUGUGGCAGAGGGAGGUGGAAUUCCACGUGUAGCGGUGAAAUGCGUAGAUAUGUGGAGGAACACCGAUGGCGAAGGCAGCCUCCUGGGCUAACACUGACGCUCAUGCACGAAAGCGUGGGGAGCAAACAGG
rnacentral:rRNA from 1 species